UUAGUCCACAAGCCACUUCCUCUGGGAACCUUUCCUGACCCCCCUCGGGUAAGAAUUCACACUGGGACGUUCCAGUACUCCAAAUAAUUGAACACAGGUACUCCAACCAAUACACGUACGUUCAGAGCAGCACCACGCAUAACAGCCAAAAGGCGGACGUGACCCAAAUGUCGACCAGAGGAUGAGCGGAUGCACAGUGUGCGUGUGCAUGUGCAGCGUCCUAGCACCGAGCUGUUAAACGGACAGAAGAACUGACUCACAUCACCACAAGGACGAACCUAAAGAACCUGAGGCUGAGUGAAAGGAGCCAGGCACGGAUCACACACAGCAGGACUCCAUUUCUACGAAAUUUCCAGAAUAGGUACUUGCGGAGCUCCUCCUGUCCGCUGGGUGCUUUUCACGGUACUGGGAACAUGGCAAGGUGCAAGACAGGCCAAGUCCUUGCUCCACUCCAAUAAACACAGCCGGUAAACAAACGUGGAGAGGGAUGGAUAAGACCGACAAGGGUGGGAUGGAGCCCUGAUCCAUAUCCCAGGCUGCUUUUUGGUAAACCUGAUGCCUGCGGCUGACUCAGACCAACAGAAUUAGUCUCUGGACAUCCGCCACGUUAAAGUGUCCCAGGUGACCAGGAUAUGUGGCCCGGGUCAAGAAUCUGCGGCUCAGAGAGUAAGGGGUUGGAGAGGAGGGUUUGGGGAUGGCCAGGAAGGUCUCCUUGAGAAGGUGACAUUCGAACAAGGGACUGAAGACAGAGGCAGGAGUAAGUCACAGGAAAGGCCGGCAGCAGAGUAUUCUGGAAGGGCAAGUGCAGAGGGCAAGGUGGGAACCAGCUGGGCUUUCCCUGAGAACAGCAGAGCUGCGUCCCCAGAGGAGAGCGAGCCAAGAGGGAGAGGCAGGAGUGGGGGCAUGGCCCCAUGGAGGAUCCAAGGGUUCUGGUUCAGGAAACAAAAAGAAAAAGGAAAAAAUCUGGCAUCUACUGUCCAAAAAACGAUUCUCCAGGCAAUUCUGAUGAGCAGCCAGAUUUGAGAACCAGAAGGAAAGGAAAAUGGAUCCUGAGUCAGUGUAGACCUGGAUUCCAAUCCCAGCCCCACCUCUCGCUAGCUCUGUGACCUUGGAGACUUCACCGCCCUCAGCCUGUUUCUUCGUCUGUAAAGCAGGGAUAAGAAGUGUGGCCCCCCCACAGGGCGGCUGCCAGGAUUCAAUGAGCCCGUGAAUGGUCCAUCAUCGACUCCUAUCGGUUUCAUUGCCUCAGUCUCACCAGAGCCUGCCCCAUCACCGCAUCCACCCGUGGCCUCUCCUGGAAAGCUCUGGGGCCCUUCCAAUCCAUUCCUCGCUACCCUGCACCACUGCAAUCGUUCCAAAACAAAAGCGUGCAAACGUGGUCCAUCUGUGCUGGAAACACUCCUGUCCUGCCCGCUGCUCUGAGAAAGAAGCAAAGAAGGUGCUGGUCCAGCCUCUCCCUGCUCCCCCCUCUCCACCCUCCUCAGGGUGCUCCCCACUGUUCCUAGGACAAACUCAACCCCACUUCUUCUCCCUGGGAACUUCUAGGCAACCUGUAGAUCUUAGCCCCCACGUGCCCUCCUCGGGGAUCCAUUUGGAAUUAGACCUCAGGUCUGUCUUCCUGAUGACUGGGAACUCUGAAGUGCUCACCAUUAUAUCCCCAGUGCCCAGCACGGGGCUUGACACACAGUAGAAGCACAGUAAAUACACGCUGGAUGAUCUACUGAAUCUAGCCAGUUGCCCAUGCGGUGGCUGUGGCCCUCACAGCAAGCCAGUCAGGCUGGUGUGACAUGCCCAUUUUACAGGUGGGUAAACAGAGGCCCAGAGAGCCCAAGGAACCUGCCUGCAGUCACAAAGCUGGUGAGUGCCAGUAGAGAUUGACGCCCACAAUCAUCCACCUCUUAACAACAAUGCUCGGUGUUCACACCACUGCAGCCUGCAGAGAUGGUUAAUAUCUGUGCACGAUAAAAUUGGGCAGACAGCUUAUUACCAACUAACUGCAAUUCACUAAGCCAACAUUCUAAAUCGACAAUGAAGCUCUCGUUCCACACAGAGCCUUUCAGGGGCUUUUUCUUUUUCUUCUAAGUUUAUUUAUUUAUUAUUUUGAGAGAGACGGGGAAAGGGGCGAGAGAGAAGGGGAGAGAGGAUCC